rnacentral:rRNA from 1 species
UACAGAGGUCCCGAGCGUUGUUCGGAUCCAUUGGGCGUAAAGGGUGCGUAGGUGGCGCUGUAAGUGGGGUGUGAAAUCCCGGGGCUUAACUCCGGAACUGCAUUCCAUACUGCGGUGCUUGAGGACUGGAGAGGAGACUGGAAUUUACGGUGUAGCAGUGAAAUGCGUAGAGAUCGUAAGGAAGACCAGUGGCGAAGGCGGGUCUCUGGACAGUUCCUGACACUGAGGCACGAAGGCCAGGGGAGCAAACGGG